rnacentral:rRNA from 1 species
AGCAGCCGCGGUAAUUCCAGCUCCAAUAGCGUAUAUUAAAGUUGUUGCAGUUAAAAAGCUCGUAGUUGAAUUUCGGGAUCAGUACGCUGGUCGUGCCUUCGGUAUGCACUGGUGUCACUGGUUCCUCCCUUCUGACGAACCGUCAUGCCAUUCACUUGGUGUGGCGGGAAAUCAGGACUGUUACUUUGAAAAAAUUAGAGUGUUUAAAGCAGGCUCACGCUUGAAUACAUUAGCAUGGAAUAAUGAAAUAGGACGUUGAUCUUAUUUUGUUGGUUUCUAGGAUUGACGUAAUGAUUAAUAGGGAUAGUUGGGGGCAUUAGUAUUCAAUUGUCAGAGGUGAAAUUCUUGGAUUUAUUGAAGACUAACUACUGCGAAAGCAUUUUGCCAAGGAUGUUUUCAUUAAUCAAGAACGAAAGUUAGGGGAUCGAAGACGAUCAGAUACCGUCGUAGUCCUAACCAUAAACUAUGCCGACUAGGAUCGGAUGAUGUUAUUUUUAAUGACUCAUUC